GCGUCCGGACGCGCGACAGCUUCCACCCGCCUCAGGCAGUAUCAGCCGCGCCGCAGUCGGAGGAAAUAGACGCGGGGCCUGAGGCUCCUGGACUUGAGAAAGGAUUCAAGACAGCCGAUGAUGAAAACACCCAUGCUUGCAAGUGAAGGUUCUGCCUGUCACUUCUCGCAGAGGCUGCAGAAAAGGCCCAGGAGGCUGUUGAUGACAUGAACGACCACCAGGAGAAGCUGGAGCAGGCUGAUGCACAGAAGGGCGGAGAAGAGGGACACGUGCCAGACAACAGCUGCAGAGGGCUCCAGGCAGACGGAGUUCCAGAGCGAACGGUCAUACAGAUAAUUCCUAUCCCAAAAAAUAAGGAGACCAGGGGUCAGGCGAUAAGUAAGGAAAGCCAAACAGGCAACCCCAGUAGAAAACUGGGGUCUCCCCUGACCGGGUCAUGGGACUGGGCUCAUGAGGGUGACCGUUACUGCUCCAUUUGCAAUUUUCUGAGUAUCAGAGGAGCAAGAUGCUAGGAUGUGUGACCCAAAGGA
rnacentral:lncRNA from 1 species